CUGACGCUAUAUAUUUAUAAUAUUAUCAAUGUUCAUUUUAAAAAGUGACAAUAAUAUAAAAAAAUACUUUCCUUCAUAUGCAAGUGGGAUAGUGCAUCAAGAAUUCAAUGGUAUAGUGUAUGCAUCUUUACUAGAAUAUAUAAUUUAGUGUCUAUAAUUUGUGUUAUUUGCCUGCCUUGGAUUUCAUAGGAUUUAGUUUUGAUAGUAACCUUAAUCUGUGCAGUGAUUAAUUAUAACCAUUCAUUUAGUGUUUUUCAAUUAAUUAAUUUGUUCAUUUAAUGAUAAAUUAAUUAACAAGUGAUUUAAAAUGACUUGAAAUAUUAAUAAUGAACAGUAACUGUUUAAGGUGUCUACGUGUAUUUAGGUUAUGUUAACAGUAAGACUGCAAUAAGUAGUAGUCUUGCUGAUGUAGGUUUAAAGAUAUAUUUAGGAGGAAGUUUAUAACAUGACAGAAACUGAAGUCGAAGGAAGUACCUGGUGUUACUGGGUUCUCUCUGUUGGAACUCUAUUUACAUUUCUUGGCUUGGUCGUUGCUUGCAUCUGCAGUUGUCGAAGAAAUCAAACUAAGAACGAUUUACCUGGGUUAUGUGGAAUGGUAACGAUCAAUCAUUCUGAUAAUGAUAAUUUCAAUACCCUACCAUCUCUAGAAGUUAGUCAAGUCCCACCAUCACAGGAUACGAUAGAUAAUGGCAAAAGAAUAAGUGGAGCUAAUAGAAGCUUACCAGAUAUACCAAAAGAUAAAAAUAGAGGAGAAGUUAAUGCAGAAUCUAUACCUCAAGAUAUUUAUGAAACUAGUGAAGUAAAUUCUGAACUGUAUGCUACAGUGCAGGAUACAGAAGAGCCACAGUCUGAAAGAGAAACACAGAGCCUUUCUCAACAAGUUUCAAUAGUUCAAGAUAAUUCAACAUUUCAACUUUCAAGAUUCACACCAUCUACAUCUAAAAAUGAUGAACAUCCGUAUGCUCAACUGCAAAGUAUACCAAAAUCUGAAAUUGAUCAAUCGCAUAGAAAAAACAGUACUCAAACGAUUAUUGUUGAUAAACCAUCAACAUCAUCAAAUCAUACAAAUGGAAAUCCAGUAGCACCACCUAGAACUCGAAAAUCAUCGUCUUUCAAUUCACUUCUGAGUGCUGAGAAUCCUAAUGAUAUACAAGCUGCAAAUGCUAUUUCUGGAGGUGUGCAAGCUAAUCAAGAUUUACCUUAUAUGACACCACCUCUCGCUAUGUUACAUCUUCAUCCACCACAACCACCACAACCUAGUACAUCACAACAUUUUAGCGGUGAUUCUCAAGAUUCUAAAGGAUAUACUAGCAUAAGUGUGCGAGAACCUUUAGCUAAUAUAUUAGCACAAACAAAAGCAUCUUAUCAACAACAUCAACCAACACGUUUGCCCAUUGAUCCUCACUAUGCAACUGUAUCCGAUGAUUCAGAUGAAAUGUAUGCAGCUAUUGACGAACAAGAAAAAAUUUAUACUAGUGGCAGUGAAACAUAUGCUCAAAUCCAACCAACAGUAUUGGAAACAAAUAGAAUUAUACACAGUGAACUAAAUCCAUUUAUUCAACCAUCAUCACGUACAGAGGAAACACAUACUGCUCCGCAACCACCAAGUGUUGAUAGUUUACGUCAUGUUGCUCAUGCUCAUUCGAGACAGGCAUCAUCAUCAAGUGCCAAUAGUUCUAUCAUAAACCCAGGUUCUCCAAAACCAGAGAAACGUCAAGCUAAUUCACCAUUACCUCCUCCACCAGAAGCAAUUUCAGAUGCAUAUGCUGCUGUUGAUAAAAGAACGAAAAAUGAUGAACGCAUAAGACCUAAUUUAUCAACUGGAAAAUCUUUAGAAGAUAUGUAUGCUAAAGUCAUGAAAAAGAAAAGAGAUGCAGAAGAGCAAAGUGACGUUCCUGGAUCUUCUAAUAUUUUACAUUCAGAAGUAAUACCUUCAAAUAGAAAACUUAGUCUCAUAGAAAUUAGCAGAGCUUCGUGGUCUAGUCAUGAUUCAGUAGAAAUACAGAAAGAAGAACACGACACUGUUCAUUACACAAUAUCAGCCAAUACUGUUACUAAUGUUCAUCCUGAAAUGGAAAAUAAUUGUUUAAAGUUAUCUCGAAUUCCUGAUGGAGAUACAAAUUUAUUAAAUCAAGAAAUUAAUUAUGGUUACGAAUCUGUGAAUACAAAAAGGAAUUUAGCUGCACGAAGUUUUCCUAUUUGUGAUUCUAAUUAUGAAAUACCACAUCUUCAAUCUUUAAGAAAUAACGAUUAUCAAAGUACAUCAACAUCAGUUCGCGAUGGUUCUGACUUAUUAUUGACAUAUCCUACAUCUUUUAAGCACAGACAAAUCAGUAAUGCAAGUAGUGAAGAUCCAGGGUAUGAAAAAGUUAGAUUACGAAGAAGAAUUGAUUUAGAUCAGGAUACAGAUUCCGAGCCAAACUAUGAGAGUAUGCCUCAUGAUUCAGGAGAACCAAAUUAUGCAUCAGUAUGCCGUCCUGGUGAUAGUGAUACAGAUCCGAAUUAUGAAUCUGUAAGUCAUGGGGAUCCAAAUUAUGAAAGUGUAAGAUACAUGAGUGUUGCUGCAUCGGAAGAACCACCAUACGAACAGACUACGAAAAGAUAAAUCCAAGCAAUGCCUUGGAACAAUGCAGUAAUGGAGAUACAGAUGAUGAACAAUAUGUUCAGCAUGAAGCUUUCGCAGGUGAAGUUACUUGAGUAUACUUUUUUAUUUUGAUGAAAUACAUUCUAUCCAUCUCGGCUUCGAUAAAGCUAUGGACAGCUAAUUUAGUACUAUUUGUAUUUUAGUAUGAAUCCAUAUUUCGCUGAUGUUUAAAUGUGUUAAGAAAAUGUUACAAAAUAAUGAGGGUAAGACUGAUAGAGACAAACAGUGAGAAGUAAUGUACAAGUAAAAUCUGACUUAAUGUUAUGUUUAAUUAUCUUAAUUGGUAGCAUGUUUCAAUGAUAAGGUAAACAAAAAAACUAUAAAGUUACCAAUAAUGAAAAGUCAUUUAUGUGACCGCAUAAAUAAUUGUCUGGCGGAACAUUAUAAUAUACGGAGGAACGUGCUGUUGAUUAAAUAAACAUAGUUGUGAGAAAUUUUCAAAUGAAAAUUAGCAAAUGUCGCAUAAAUAUUAUUAAAUGAAAAAAAUUAUUAUUUCUUCUGUGAAUGGUGCAUGCUGUGCCUUGUUGUAUUGACUACUCUCUAUACAUUUUUAUUUACAUGUCACAAACAACCAGGUCACAAAAAUGUAUCCUAUUCUUUAGUUUAAUUAAUGAAAUAGUACUCUCAUAGCUUCAUAUAAUAAUUUACUGCCACGAGUUGUAA
rnacentral:misc_RNA from 1 species